rnacentral:tRNA from 1 species
GUCCCCUUCGUCUAGAGGCGGACACCGCCCUUUCACGGCGGUAACAGGGGUUCGAAUCCCCUAGGGGACGCCA